UACGAGGGGGGCGAGCGUUGUUCGGAAUUAUUGGGCGUGAAGGGUGCGUAGGCGGUUUGGUAAGUCUGAUGUGAAAUCUAUGGGCUCAACUCAUAGUCUGCAUCGGAAACUGCCGGGCUUGAGUAUGGGAGAGGUGAGUGGAAUUCCUGGUGUAGCGGUGAAAUGCGUAGAUAUCAGGAGGAACACCUGUGGCGAAAGCGGCUCACUGGACCAUAACUGACGCUGAUGCACGAAAGCUAGGGGAGCAAACAGG
rnacentral:rRNA from 1 species